UUGAACGCUGGCGGCAUGCCUUACACAUGCAAGUCGAACGGUAGAGGGGCAACCCUUGAGAGUGGCGAACGGGUGAGUAAUAUAUCGGAACGUGCCCAGUCGUGGGGGAUAACGCAGCGAAAGCUGCGCUAAUACCGCAUACGAUCUAAGGAUGAAAGCGGGGGAUCGCAAGACCUCGCGCGAUUGGAGCGGCCGAUAUCAGAUUAGGUAGUUGGUGGGGUAAAAGCCUACCAAGCC
rnacentral:rRNA from 1 species